UACCGCAUACGUCCGUACGGGAGGAAGGGGGGGAUCUUCGGACCUCUCGCUAAUAGAUGAGCCUAGGCCGGAUUAGCUAGUUGGUAGGGUAAAGGCCUACCAAGGCGACGAUCUGUAGCUGGUCUGAGAGGAUGGCCAGCCACACUGGAACUGAGACACGGUCCAGACUCCUACGGGAGGCAGCAGUGGGGAAUAUUGGACAAUGGGGGCAACCCUGAUCCAGCCAUGCCGCGUGUGUGAAGAAGGCCUUCGGGUUGUAAAGCACUUUAAGCGAGGAGGAAGGUUUUGGUUUAAUACACUAAAGAAUUGACGUUACUCGCAGAAUAAGCACCGGCUAACUCUGUG
rnacentral:rRNA from 1 species